rnacentral:lncRNA from 1 species
UAGCUACCUUGCCCUUAUGCCCGUCAAUAUCUCCCAAAUUUUUUUUUUUCUUUUUUCUUGUAACUCAUGCUAUGAGUCGGGGUAUCCAUUAAGUUUAAAGCAAUUCUCAUGCGUGUGCCAUAAAUUUCCACAAUAGGAACAUUUGGCCCCUUCAGUAAUAAUUUUUUCCUUUAGGUUGUGUGACUUACUGUGGCCCAUAUAAAGCUGCCCGUUAGAAGAAUUAGUGGCCAGUUCUUUCUUCACUCUUUUGGUAGCCAAAAUUGCUCCGGUGGAACUGUCAACGUCAGUGGAGGUCAUCACCAACUGUCGAAGCGCCUCUCUACGAACAUGGGCGUAGGCCUAUUUUAUGGAAGGGAAUGGUUUCAUCUACAAUACACUGCUGUGAAUCCCGUCCAGGUGGUCAUCUAGCCCAUCCAAGAAGCUCGAUCUUCUUGAAGCAUCUUAUUGUAAUGUUGGAUAUCAAUGGCGUAUUCCAUCGGGUUGGGGCGGCGAAAAUCAAUUUCAUGCCAUAGUCCCUGUAACUCCAUAUAGUCCAAUGAGCCACCAAAUUCUCUCAGCCGAGUAACACACUAUCGAAGUUCAUAGACCUGAGAAGCAUCACUGCCGUCGAAGUAAGUUAUUGCAAUAGCGUCCAAACCUCCUUUGUUGUGGAAAUCAAAUGAAGUUUCCAAUCAAGGCUGGGUCCAUAGAGUUAAUUAACCAUCUCUUUACAAAGGCGUUAUCAGUUCGCCACUUUCGAAAGCCGGGGUCAGUCUCUGCAGGUGGUGGAAGGUUACUGUUCACGUAGCCCAACUUAUCUUUCCCGGAGAUGUAUGUCUUCAUAACUUGGGACCACAGGGGAUAGUUCGAUCUAUCUAAUUUAAUGCCAUUGGGGUUGAAUUUUUGGUGUUUAGGUUUGAUUUUUGGGUUUUUAAUAAAGCUUCUACCAUCUUUUGUGUGAAUUCUUGGAAGAGAGCCUCGGGGUUGGGUGGAUUAUCUCCUACGUUGGUGAUAACUCCUGUGUCAGCCAUGUGUUUGAGAAAAUGUUUACAAGAGGAAGGAUAGGAUUUUUGAUAAAGAGGGUGCCAUGGAUCAAUUUUCUGCUCUGAUACCAUGUUUCAAAAAGGUAAGCCUUUUUCUUCAAUUUUCGGUAUGAACCAUUACAUUGAGUUGGAUACAUAUAAAUAGGGAGAUUCUGCAAUCUAUUUUUGCCUAUACAUAAUUGAUGCCUAGUAUCAUGCUUGAUUAGGGGAAUUUACAUUGAUUUGUAUUUCCUAUCUUGAUUUCCUACGGCUCAUGCGAACAGAUACUUUGCAUCGGUAGAGGAUCGAGCUAUUGUUGAAUUCUCUAAACUGAGUAAUGGCUUAUGAAAAUUUCAUGAACAUUUCUGGCUAAAUGAAAAUAUCAUAAAAUUCAAGGAUUAUGUGGAAAUCUGCACCAAUUUCCUAAUAUGAUUUAAAUUGAAAGUCAUAAAAAAAGGACUGGGAUCAUGUAACCGUCCCUGUCACGAUUAUCCGAUGUAUCUCCACCCCCAUUUAGGAUGGA